GUGAGAGAAAGUUUUACCUGGCGUCCAGCUUGUUCUUAGGAGGGACCGGCUGCUGCCUCAGGUUGAGGGUGGGUUCAGGUUCACGGCCCUGGGAUCCUGGGAGAACGAGAGUCUGGUUAACAAGUACUCCGUUCUGAUGCAUCAGUGAGUAUGUUGGUCAACCUAAUCAUUUGUGGGGCAAUGAGUGGGAAUUUGGAAGGUCUGUGUGUGGCCUUGUGUCAGGUCAACGAGGGAACAUCCUCAAGCCUUCUCUAAGUUAUAUGAGGAAGGGAAGUUCUUUGCUGUGUCAACUGAUAUUAAGCCUGUUAAGGCAGACAUAAUUUUAUAAAUGUUUUGUAAAUCAAAGAGUAUCUGGAACAAGUCUUAAUUUAGGAAUUUUAUUUUGCCAAGGUUGUGGAUGCACCCGUGACACAGCCUCAGGAGGUCCUGGUGACAUGUGGCCAAGGUGGUCAGGGCACAGGAGACAUUGGACAUCAAUCAGUACAUGUGAAAUGUACAUCGGUUCAGUCCAGAAAGGUGGGACCACUUGAAGUGAGGAGGGGCUUCCAGGUGUAUAUAUAAUAGGUAGGUAAGAGACAAAGGAUUGUAUCCUUUUGAGUUUCUGAUUAGCCUUUCCAAAGGACGUAGGUGUGCAUUUAACUCAGCAGAGGGAUGACUUUGAGUUCUGCCUGCCUUUGUCCACAAACUGUAAGGAAGGUAUGUAGUUUUUUGUUUUUAUUUUAAAUCUUAGUAGCUAUUUUUUUGGAAUAGAGUGGGAGGCACGAUGAGAUUUGAGGAACUCGGCGCAGAUAUUCUACUCAGGGACAGGAUGUCAGCCACAAAUCAUAAGACCUUCUCCAGGUGGUUAAUUUGGACCUGUAGGUCAUCAGCUAGAAGCCAUUUCCAGGACACAAAGGGUAGGAGAAUUGUUUUAAUUCACACUCCCAGGGAUCAGGUAAAAGUCACCACUGUCAACCAGUACACUUGAUGUUCUUCCUUUUAAUAACUAAUCAGGUUCUUUAAAGAAAGUUUCAGAUUGCUCAUACAAAAGGACAACUGGUAGCAAUGCCAUAAAGAAAGGGGGCAUUCGAUGGACUCAAAGAAAACAAAGCAAUGCUACUAGACCGGAGACAGUGGAAUCCAGCUGCAUUUAUGAGUUUGUCUUCAUUAAAUACUGGAGAUUAGUAAGUGUCAAAGGAGCCAUGAAGACAUCCUAGCACAGAGAGGGUCCACUGUGUGAUCUAAUCAGAAGAGCUGCAGGAAAGAAUAGCUUUGCAGUAUAUGAGUUAAUGUUUUUAAUGCUACACCCAUUCACCAACUAAAAUUAUCUCAGUGAUUCCCCACUUUGGAAAUCCCAAACAAUCCAUUAGGAUGCCAGUGAAAAUUUUCCCAUCAGUUUUUUAAAAACUAAACUUCAGUUUUUAGAACAGCUUUACACAUUCAGAAAAAUUGGUAAACUAAUACAGAGAGUUCUCAUAAACUCUGCACUCAGUUUCUUCUGUUAUUAAUAUUUUGUUAAUGUAUUUGUUGGGUACACGUUAUAAUGAAUGAAUGAAGUAGCUAUGUUACUAACUAAAGCCCAAGCAUUCUUCAGAUUUCCUGUUUUCACCUAAUGUCCUUUUGCCGUUCCAGGACAUUGAUCUAGGAUGCCUCCUCACACCCAGUUGUCCUGACUUCUUAGUCUCUCCUUGACUCACAGUUUCUCAGACUUUCUUGUUUUUGAUGACCUUGAUGGUUUUGAGGUAUUGUGGUAUUUUGUAGAAUAUCCUUCAACCAAGGUUUGUCCGAUGAUUUUCUUUUUUUAAAUAGAGAUGAGAUCUUGCUACGUUGCCCAGGCUGAUCUGGAACUCCUGGGUUCAAGUGAUCCUCCUGCCUCAGCUUCCCAAAGUGCUGGGAUUACAGGCAUCAGCGACUUUGCCCAAUCUGUCUGAUGAUUUUCUCAUGGUUAGACUACAGUUUGGGAUGGGGGAUAGUUUGGGGUUGGAAGAUCACAGAGGUAAAGAGCCCUUCUCAGCACUUCAUUAUCAAGGGUUCAAACUGUCAACUUGACUUCUCAUUGUUGAUGUUGGCCUUGGUCACCUGCCUCUGGUAAUGAUUGUCAGGUCUGUCCACUAUACAGUGACUCUGUCCUCCUUUCCACACCGUAUAGUUGGAGAGGCAGUCACUAUGCACAACGCACACCUAAGGGUGCAGCGUUACGCUCCCACUCCUCAAGGGCAGAUCAUCUAUGUAAAGCAUUGGAGUUUGGCGAAGGUAGUAUCUACUCCCCAUUUAUUUAUCCAAUUGUUUGUUUAUAAUAAUACAAACUCCCUCUUGACUUUUAAAUGCCCAGCCAGUCCUCUGCAUCCAGCCUGCCUUGUCUGAUUUUGUUUUUUGAUGUAUGUAUGAGUCCAUUUUCACACUGCUAUAAAGAUACUACCUGAGACUGGGUAAUUUACAAAAAAAGGACGUUUAAUUAACUCACAGAUCCGCAGGUCCGGGGAGGCCUCAAGAAAGUUACAAUCGUGGUGGAGGGAGAAGCAAGCACCUUCUUCACAGGCAGCAAGACAAAGAGACAAAGGAGGAAAUUCCAAACACUUACAAAACCAUCAGAUCUUGCAAGAACUCACCAUCACCACAAUAGCGUAGGGGAACCACCCCCAUGAUCCAAACACCUGCCCCGCUUGACGCCUUGGGAUUACAGGAUCCUCCCUCAAAACUUGAGGGUUAUAAACUGCGAUGAGAUUUGGGUGGGGACACAGAGCCAAACUCUAUCAAUAUAGGUUCUUGCUCUGUCACCCAGGCUAGAGUACAGUGGCAUAAUCAAGGGCUCAGCGCAGCCUCCACCUCCAGGGCUCAAACAAUCUUUCCACUUUCCACUUCAGCCUCCAGAGUAGCUGGGACUACAGGCAACACGCCACCAUACCCGGCUAAUUUUUGUAUUUUUUAUAGAGAUGAGGUUUUGCCAUGUUGCCCAGGCUGGUCUGGAACUCUAGGGCUCAAGUGAUCCGCCUGUCUUGGCCUCCCGAAGUGCCCGGAUGACAGGCCUGAGGCACGGCGCCCAGCCACAUGGCUGUGUGUGCUUUCUCCCCUGACCACCUCAUCUACUCUCACAACUACAAUGACAGCAACAGGGCAAGACCCCGAGCAUUUCCCCAGCAGCCUAAAGCUCCUCUGUUCUUUGGACUUGCAUGUUCAGCUGCCUCCUGCCGUGGCUACCCUUAACGCUCCGCAUGUUCCACACUGAACUGCUGCUGCAAUUCUCCUUCCUCCCCAAGACAUCGCCCCUGUGUUCAUGUAGAAACUUGGAAGUUUCCCUCCCAGCUUGCCACCCAGAUACUCCCCAAAUCUCUGUACCUCUCUUCACCCAUGCUGUUGCCUCCAAAGUGCUUCACGCUGGACUCCCACCUGUCCUGGCUUAGUGGCCUUGAAACUCACCUUAAAUCCCCCAGUGCUCCUUCUCCCUAGCAUCCCACUAUCUUCUCCCUAAUACUCCACUGUCGCCCCUGCACCCCGAUAUCCUUCUCCUGUACCCCGUUUCUCCCUCCUCUACACCCCACUACAGCAGAGCCACCUUUAAAAACACAAACUUUGGCCAGAAAGGUGGCUCACACCUGUAAUCCCAGCACUUUGGGAGGUUGAUGCCAGGAGUUCAAGACAAGCCUGGGCAACUUAGUGAAACCUUGUCUUUAUGAAAACUACAUUUAAAAACUAUUGAGGCAUGGUGGAGUGUGCCUGUAGCCCCAGUUACUUGGGAGGUUGAGGUAGGACGGCUUGAGCCCAGGAGUUUAAGGCUGCAAUGAGCUAUGAUGGUGCCACUGCACUCCAGCCUGGAUGACAGAGUGAGACCCUGUCUCAAAAAAUAAAUUAAGUAAAAAUACAAACCUGGUUACGCUACCUCCCUGCUGUCAUAGGCUCUCAAGGUACAUUCCAACAAGAUCUGUUGCCACUCUGUCCCUUGUUCCCAGAGCUUCAUGGGUCCUCCUCAAGUCCAGCCAUGGACAGCCCUGCCUACUCCUUUUCCCAUGCUGCCUUUUUUCCAUCUUCCACAUCUUCUUUUCAAAGUCACUUCUCUUGGAAGGCUUCUCUGACCCUACAGACUAUGGGAAAAUUCUGUUACAUUCUCUAUGUAUUCCUAAUCUGUAACUCUUAUCAAACUGGUUAUAUAAAGAUCAUUUAUUAGAGUUCAUUACUUUAUGGCUUUAAUUACUCUGUUAGUAUACAGCAGCUCCGCACACUGUGAAAUGUCCAGACUCUAGACAGGCUGCCUGAAUUGAAACCUUGGGUCUGCUGUGUAUCCCUAAGCAACUUCCUCUACCACUCUAUGCCCCAUCUGUAAAAUGGGCAUAAUGAUUGUGCCUCCUUUGCAGGUGAUCAUGAAGAUUCAGUGAGCUGCUAUGUGCCAAGCUCAUCCAAGAGGGCCUGAAAUUUCAGCAGCUGCCACGGGAGGUAAAUGGUGAAUAAUGCAAGUCUGUUCUUCCGAAUCAUAGAAAGACUCCCGAGUCUUUUUCUGCUGGCCUGAUCAUCAUCUACCAGAGGGAGGGCAGUUUGAGGAGCAUGUUGUCUGAGACCCCAAGCUGGAUGAGGUAAGCAGACAUAGUCAAAGAGGUCUCUGCCCUUGGUGGUCAACAGAGGAGAGAGUGGUGAGAAAGGAAUGCAUUGGAAAUCAUCUGCCCUCUUCUUCUCAACUGUAAUGCAGGUCUGCACUUACCAUCUCCGAGCCCCAACACUGCACACCUGGCUGUUACUGAAUCUAACUGGGAUCCACUCGUCCAGCGCAGUCAGGCCAAAUAUCCACACUGAGGUUUAUGUCAGGAGAAAGGAAGGUGUUUAUUUGCAGGAUGCCAAGCAAGGAGAAUCAGGCAGCUCACACUGAGUAUCUGUCUUCCACAGUGGCUUGCAAGUAAGGGUUUUUAAAGGCGAGGUGGCUGGUGCCAAGGCAAUGAGUUACCUCAACUGCUCAGUCAGUUACACAUCAAAUGCCUUGUUCUACUCAUCCCCCGCUUCUCACUACUGCAUUUGACUCGUCAUUUAAAAAAGAAAAGAAAAAAAAGAAGGAGAAACAUAAAGGCAGGGGUAAAUUUUAGGAAAGCAGAAAUUACAGGCAAAUUCAUGAAUUAAUACAUUGAAAUGAUGUCUUGGUUUAGCCUCAAAAGGGCAGGAUACUUUGAAGCAGAGGCUUACAGCUCAUAGGUAGAAUUCACAGAUUUUCUGAUUUGUAAUAGGUUAUAGAAGAGCAGCUUGGUUUAAAAUUCUGGGCCGGAGGAAGAGAAGGUUAGGUCUGGCCCUUGGGAAUGACUUCCUCCAGGGUCAGGAGGAAAUUUAAGACAACACCGGUCAGAGUUUAGUCCUCAGGCCUCGUUAUCUUAUCUGAGGUUUCUGUGCCAGUGAAUCCUUGCCCAGCAAGGAGCAUGCCUUUGACAAGAACUAACCCAUCCAGACCCGAACCUCCAGUGUCUGACCUGACCAACGUGUCCUCUGCCUUAUGCAUCCCAGAGUCUGGUGCCAGGCAAUGAGGAACCAUCUCUGUAACCCAAAGCCCACAGAAAUUUUUCAAACUAGUCAAUCCUAGACUAUUCACUUUGCUCUGCCUUGCCUCUGUCCAAGGAAACCCCAAAAAGACAGUGGCCCAAACCUUCUCCUUGCUCGUGUCCUCUGCCUCCUGCCACCUGGUCUUUCCUGUGUGGCCCUGUGUGGCCUGAGGUGCCUCCUGUCUCUAGGACCUGUAAGCAGAAUAAACUUUGUCUUUUCCUAAGACUCGUUUGUCUUCUCUUGUGGCUACACUUGACUGAUCACAUAAAAAAGUACAAAACAGCAGGUAUCCAACCUCACCAUGUUUUGACAAGGUGUAGCAAAACCAGUAACAUGAGCCAGGAUAGACGCAAACAUAGCAAGAUUUUUUUUAAAGCAGGUGAUGGGGAGAGGGUGGUUCUCCUGCCAUUUGGUUGUGUGAUUAGAAGACAGACCUUUGUCAUGGUUAUCAGCCUGCCUGUGAUAUUCCAAGAUGUGUGAGGUCAUCCCACUUGCAUGUAUUCCUGAGGAAUCUGCUUUCCCACACUUUUUAAGAAUUUUGCAUCUGCUCACAGGGAAUUUCUAUGGCUUCUCUGUACUUUGUUGAUUAUAUGUACAUUAAUCAUGGUGACCUGGUUAUAGGCUAUGGUUUCAAGAGAAGAUAAAGUUCCCAACUGGUAUUUGAUGGGCAAAAUAGGUAUAAAUGGACCCCAUGGGCUUUGCCCUUGAUGAGAGCCCAGUCCCUGCCAACCCUCCCCCAGAUGCUGGGCUGCUGAAAUUCUACUGGUUGCCCUCUAUAUGGGUCUGGGCUGCUGGAGGUACCUGGUCUUCCAGCGGUCCCCUCAACACUCCUUUUCCUGUGGCCAGUCUGCCCUAAGCAAGUUUUGUAACCUCUAGCCUUGUUGCAUGGAAUAGUAGUGGACACUGACCAUCACUUUUAAGACCAAACAGUAACAGUGUUUGUUGCUAAUAUUGUGUCUGGAGGCUGGGUGUGGUGGCUCAAACUUACAGUCCCAGCACUUUGGGAGGCCGUGGUGGGAGGAACUCAGAAGUUUAGGACCAGCCUGCACAAAACAGUGAGACCACCUCUUAGGAAAAAAAAAAAAAUGAGCUUGUUUGAUGGCAUUUCUGAAGUGCUAUAAUCAUCACUGAACUGCCUACAUAACUCUGCUAGCAGAAGUACUCGUGUCUGGUCCAAACUCUGCUUUUGGCAGAGGAAGGAAAACCAUCUCACCGAAGAGUGACUUGGACAAGAUCUCUGCCUUCUCUUCCCUUUGUGCCACAGUAUGAUUUAGGACUGAUAGGGACCCUCCCUCCAGUGGACUCAUCUUUUAAUUGUUUCUUCUUCUGAGGCAAGAGCUGGGGAGAUAGAGAAAACGGAAAAAUGGCUAACGUUAGGUUAAAGUUGUGGUGUGACCAGGAGUACAAUCUACCCUGUGUAUGAAACAGUUAUUUAUUCUUUCUUUUGGGGAGCAGCCAGAUCAGGUGACCAGAACUAGCUAAAGCCUACAGGUCCUAGAAAACAUCAGAUUUUCACCUUUCGGCUGUGCUUCACAUUUUACCUUUUUUUGAGAUGCGGUCUUGCUGUUGCCCAGGCUGCAGUACAGUGCGUUCCACCGUUCACAGCAACCUCUGUCUCUGAGUUCAAGGGAUCUUCCCCUGCCUCAGCCUCCCAAGUAGCUACAGGAAUGUGCCACCACAGCAGGCUAACUUUUCUAAUUUUUUUUUUUUUCCCAUACAGAUGGGGUCUCACUAUGUUGCUCAGGCUGGUCUCAAACUCCUGAGCUCAAGAAAUCCUUGUCUUGGCCUCCCAAAGUGUUGGGAUUACAGGAAUGAGCCACCAUGCCUGGCCACCUUUUACUUUUCAAAUGAAAAGCCUAACACGAAUAUUGAUUCAGCUAGUGAGUUUUUAUUAUGGACCUGUGGGUUUGUGGCAAUGCCAAGGGAUCAGAGGAAUGAAGAGGGAGGAUGUUGCUCAGAUGGG